rnacentral:rRNA from 1 species
GACGAACGCUGGCGGCGUGCUUAACACAUGCAAGUCGAACGGAAAGGCCCUGCUUUUGUGGGGUGCUCGAGUGGCGAACGGGUGAGUAACACGUGAGUAACCUGCCCUUGACUUUGGGAUAACUUCAGGAAACUGGGGCUAAUACCGGAUAGGAGCUCCUGCUGCAUGGUGGGGGUUGGAAAGUUUCGGCGGUUGGGGAUGGACUCGCGGCUUAUCAGCUUGUUGGUGGGGUAGUGGCUUACCAAGGCUUUGACGGGUAGCCGGCCUGAGAGGGUGACCGGCCAAAUUGGGACUGAGAUACGGCCCAGACUCCUACGGGAGGCAGCAGUGGGGAAUAUUGCACAAUGGGCGGAAGCCUGAUGCAGCACAGCCGCGUGCGGGAUGACGGCCUUCGGGUUGUAAACCGCUUUCGCCUGUGACGAAGCGUGAGUGACGGUAAUGGGUAAAGAAGCACCGGCUAACUACGUG